rnacentral:rRNA from 1 species
GACGAACGCUGGCGGCGUGCUUAACACAUGCAAGUCGAACGGCAAGGCCCUGCUUUUGUGGGGUGCUCGAGUGGCGAACGGGUGAGUAACACGUGAGUAACCUGCCCUUGACUUUGGGAUAACUUCAGGAAACUGGGGCUAAUACCGGAUAGGAGCUCCUGCUGCAUGGUGGGGGUUGGAACGUUUCGGCGGUUGGGGAUGGACUCGCGGCUUAUCAGCUUGUUGGUGGGGUAGUGGCUUACCAAGGCUUUGACGGGUAGCCGGCCUGAGAGGGUGACCGGCCACAUUGGGACUGAGGGACGGCCCAGACUCCUACGGGAGGCAGCAGUGGGGAAUAUUGCACAAUGGGCGGAAGCCUGAUGCAGCAACGCCGCGGGCGGGAUGACGGCCUUCGGGGUGUAAACCGCUUUCGCCUGUGACGAAGCGUGAGUGACGGUAAUGGGUAAAGAAGCACCGGCUAACUACGUG